rnacentral:rRNA from 1 species
UACAGAGGGGGCCAGCGUUAUUCGGAAUUAUUGGGCGUAAAGCGCGCGCAGGCGGUUCUUUAAGUCUGAUGUGAAAGCCCCCGGCUCAACCGGGGAGGGUCAUUGGAAACUGGGGAACUUGAGUGCAGAAGAGAAGAGCGGAAUUCCACGUGUAGCGGUGAAAUGCGUAGAGAUGUGGAGGAACACCAGUGGCGAAGGCGGCUCUUUGGUCUGUAACUGACGCUGAGGCGCGAAAGCGUGGGGAGCAAACAGG